CAAGUUAUCGUCGUACGUCGUCGGCGACUGUCGCAACCGCGACGAUAACGAUAACGUUCAAUUUUGUUUAAUUUAUGAAAAUAUAGUUCUGUCCGGUUUCCUCGGUGGCGUCAGUUUAUUGUGGUAAUGGCACGCACGGAAGACAUAAAUGUAAAGUUUAACGCGAAUAAAAUAUAUAUACAAAACCGUUGUGAGUUUUUUUUUUUUUUUUUUAUUAUUUACAUCGAAUGACGAACGUGGUCAUCUCCACAAAUUAAAGUUUUAUUUAACCUGAAACAUAUCAGGACAAAUAUUUAGCUGAAGAUAAUAAGUACACAGUGUUGUAUUAUGCGAUUUAAAUUCGGGCCAUAUUAAUGUCAUAAUAGAAAAUAAGCUAGCAUAAACAUUUUUUUUUCUACUGUUAGCACACUUGUUCAAGCCUUAAAUCUCAAAACAAAUGAAUUCAUAACCAGCUUCAUUUACAGAGACAUUUAGCAUCUUAUCUAUGGAUUCAAAUGUCUUAAAUAAUAAUUUAAAUAAUUUUAGAUGGAAUGGAAAAAAAAAGAAAUUAAUAUUAUCCUAUAUACCACUAUGGCGCUAUAUGUUAAACAAAGACAGAAACACCUAUUUUAUUCGCCAUCUCUUUGUAACAUGUUCGUUCGGGCAACACUGUAAAGUAAGCGUUCCAGUUGUCAUAUAUAAUGCGGAGCCAGGACUCUCUAUUAAAAAUGAUGCUAAAACAGAAUCCAGUAGGAAAAAGGCCCUUGGGAAAACCAAAAUUGAGAUGGGAAGAUAUAGUUAAGAAAAAUAUAGAAAACUUAGGAGGCAUAGCAAACUGGAAGAAUUCGGCGAUGAUUAGAAACGGCUGGAGAAUUGGUUGUGAGACGGGAUGAUCGUAGCAGCCGUUUAACUCAAAAGAAAGAAAGAAAGGUUUCCCUGCUCAUUAGGAAACAACUUUUUGAUCGUCCUCGUGAUAUUAACAUUAUUCUGGAUGAUGUUUCCAUAACUGAAUUAAGUUUUGACAAAGAAUAUAUAGCAGCUGUAGAGGCAAAACAAGUAGCCCACUAAGAAGCUCAGUGUGUUGUCUUCUUUGUUGAAUGUGCCAAACAGAACGUCAACAAAAGAUUUUGCAAACUGAAGGCAUUGGCGCAACUAUGGGGGGGGGGGUGCUUUGGGUCCUUUGCACCCCCAAAAAAAUCGUUUAAAAACUGAAAAAAAAAAGUUUAAUAUUUAUCGAAUUACAAUUAUAA